rnacentral:tRNA from 1 species
AUUUAAAUAGUUUAAAAAAAAUAUUGAUUUGUGGAAUCAAUGAUAUAAUUUAAUUU